rnacentral:rRNA from 1 species
UGGGGAAUAUUGCACAAUGGAGGGAACUCUGAUGCAGCGACGCCGCGUGAGUGAUGAAGGAAUUCGUUUCGUAAAACUCUGUUCUAUGGGAAGAAAAGGACUGUACCAUAGGAGAAAGCUCCGGCUAAAUACGUGCCAGCAGCCGCGGUAAUACGUAUGGAGCGAGCGUUGUCCGGAAUUAUUGGGCGUAAAGGGUGCGCAGGCGGCUUUACAAGUUGGAUGUGAAAUAUUGUGGCUCAACCACAAACGUGCAUCCAAAACUGCAAAGCUUGAGUUAAGGAGAGGUAAGUGGAAUUCCUGGUGUAGCGGUGGAAUGCGUAGAUAUCCGGAGGAAUACCGGUGGCGAAGGCGACUUACUGGACUUAAACUGACGCUCAGGCACGAAAGCGUGGGGAGCAAACAGG